rnacentral:misc_RNA from 1 species
GAUGAAGAACGUAGCGAAAUGCGAUAACUAAUGUGAAUUGCAGAAUUCAGUGAAUCAUCGAGUCUUUGAACGCACAUUGCGCCCCCUGGUAUUCCGGGGGGCAUGCCUGUCCGAGCGUCAUUGCUGCCUCAAGCACGGCUUGUGUGUUGGGCUCCGUCCCCCCGGGGACGGGCCCGAAAGGCAGCGGCGGCACCGAGUCCGGUCCUCGAGCGUAUGGGGCUUUGUCACCCGCUCUGUAGGCCCGGCCGGCGCCAGCCGACAACCCAUCAUCCUUUUCAGGUUGACCUCGGAUCAGGUAGGGAUACCCGCUGAACUUAAGCAUAUCAAUAAGCGGAGGA